rnacentral:rRNA from 1 species
CCUGAGUUAAUGAUAAACAGGGACUGUCGGGGGCAUCCGUACUACGACGCGAGAGGWGAAAUUCAGUGACCGUCGUAGGAUGAACAACAGCGAAAGCAUUUGCCAAGAAUGUCUUCGUUGAUCAAGAACGAAAGUUAGAGGAUCGAAGGCGAUCAGAUACCGCCUUAGUUCUAACCCUUAACGAUGCUGACUAGCAAUUCGCCGUUGUUAUUCCCAUGAUGUGGCGAGACACCCCUGGGAAACCUCAAGUCUUUGAGUUCCGGGGGUAGUAUGGUUGCAAARCUGAAACUUAAAGGAAUUGACGGAAGGGCACCACCAGGAGUGGAGCCUGUGGCUUAAUUUGACUCAACACGGGAAACCUCACCAGGCCUGGACACCAGAAGGAUUGACAGAUUAAGAGCUCUUUCUCGAUUUGGUGGGUGGUGGUGCAUGGCUGUUCUUAGUUGGUGGAGUGAUUUGUCUGGUUAAUUCUUAGAGGGAUGAGCAGCAAGUAUAGCUGCAGGAGAUUGAGCAGGGGACAGGUCUGUGAUGCCCUUAGAA